GACGAACGCUGGCGGCGUGCCUAAUACAUGCAAGUAGAACGCUGAAGGAGGAGCUUGCUUCUCUGGAUGAGUUGCGAACGGGUGAGUAACGCGUAGGUAACCUGCCUGGUAGCGGGGGAUAACUAUUGGAAACGAUAGCUAAUACCGCAUAAGAGUAGAUGUUGCAUGACAUUUGCUUAAAAGGUGCAAUUGCAUCACUACCAGAUGGACCUGCGUUGUAUUAGCUAGUUGGUGGGGUAACGGCUCACCAAGGCGACGAUACAUAGCCGACCUGAGAGGGUGAUCGGCCACACUGGGACUGAGACACGGCCCAGACUCCUACGGGAGGCAGCAGUAGGGAAUCUUCGGCAAUGGACGGAAGUCUGACCGAGCAACGCCGCGUGAGUGAAGAAGGUUUUCGGAUCGUAAAGCUCUGUUGUAAGAGAAGAACGAGCGUGAGAGUGGAAAGUUCACACUGUGACGGUAUCUUACCAGAAAGGGACGGCUAACUACGUG
rnacentral:rRNA from 1 species